rnacentral:rRNA from 1 species
CCUACGGGAGGCUGCAGUCGAGGAUCUUCGGCAAUGCGGGCAACCGCGACCGAGCGACGCCGCGUGGGCGACGAAGGCCUUCGGGUUGUAAAGCCCUGUCGGGGGGGAGGAAACCUUAACCGGUUGACCUAUCCCCGGAGGAAGCUCGGGCUAAGUUCGUGCCAGCAGCCGCGGUAAGACGAACCGAGCGAACGUUGUUCGGAAUCAUUGGGCUUAAAGGGCGCGUAGGCGGCCGGCCGCGUCCGGGGUGAAAUCCCACGGCUCAACCGUGGAAC